AACCGAAUUGAUAACUGGAUGGAUUGAUCGGUGUUCAGUCCCUUUCUGUCUUUUAAGUAUUCGGGAAAUCAAUGCCCAGGAAAUGCUUCUUACACGAUGAUUUCGCCAAUUUCAACAAGGAACUUGAUCGUUUACUUUUCCUCGACAUCU
rnacentral:snoRNA from 1 species